rnacentral:rRNA from 1 species
AACGGAGGGUGCGAGCGUUGUUCGGAAUUACUGGGCGUAAAGCGCGUGCAGGCGGUCUUUUAAGUUCCGUGUGAAAUCCCCCGGCUUAACUGGGGAACGGCGCGGAAAACUGGAAGACUGGAAUACGGGAGAAGAGGGCGGAAUUCCCAGUGUAGAGGUGAAAUUCGUAGAUAUUGGGAGGAACACCGGUGGUGAAAGCGGCUCUCUAGACCGAUAUUGACGCUCAUACGCGAGAGCGUGGGGAGCAAACAGG